CUACGGGUCGCUGCAGUGAGGAAUAUUGCACAAUGGGGGGAACCCUGAUGCAGCAACGCCGCGUGGAGGAUGACGCAUUUCGGUGUGUAAACUCCUUUUAUAUGUCAAGAAAAUGACGGUAGCAUAUGGAUAAGCACCGGCUAACUCCGUGCCAGCAGCCGCGGUAAUACGGAGGGUGGCAAGCGUUACUCGGAAUCACUGGGCGUAAAGGACGCGUAGGCGGGUUGGAAAGUCAGGUGUGAAAUCCUACAGCUUAACUGUAGAACUGCACUUGAAACUUCUAAUCUAGAGUAUGGGAGGGGGAGAUGGAAUUAGUGGUGUAGGGGUAAAAUCCGUAGAUAUCACUAGGAAUACCUAAAGCGAAGGCGAUCUCCUGGAACAUUACUGACGCUAAGGCGUGAAAGCGUGGGGAGCAAACAGGAUUAGAUACCCUCGUAGUC
rnacentral:rRNA from 1 species